UGAUCUGACUGAUUUAUCUUAUUUAACUGAUUGAUUUGACUGGCCAACACAUUUAACCCUGUGUGCGAGGUUGUGCACCGGCCCCACGUCCUGUGGCCGCGAGGGGAGCCGCUGAUUGUAUUCUAGCAUAUUAUGGUGAACCACGCUUGAGCCCGUGACUUGUACAUCCACCCUGAAACUGAACUGCAUUGGAACUUAAGAUGGGGACGA